GUCACUCAGGUAGCCCACUCCUCCUCCCAAGGACUGCUUGACGGACAAGGGCACUCCUCCUCCCAGCCGUUGUUGAACUGUUUCGAAAGCCUGCCGCACCUCCUCCCGCGGCAGGCUUUUUCG
rnacentral:sRNA from 1 species